AAUGCGGAUCCGUGAACAGGGAGGGACGGAGCGUGGCACCAGCCUCUCUGGAUCAUUGCCAGGAUCAACAAGAUAAUAGACGGGCGCCCUUCAGCAGCUUCCCCGUGAUGGGUCCUCAGCCCAGAUGGAAAAGGCUUUAUCUAUAGUGUGCUUUGACAGACGGACCUCACCAACAAUCUGUAGGGUCUUUGUAGACGUGUAAAUCCAGUGAGAGACAGAACAGACACACAGAGACACAGAGGACACGGCCAGGAGAAGACAGAGGCAGAGAUCAGAGCGAUGCGGCCACAAGCCGAGGAAUGCCUGGGGCUACCAGGGCUGGAAGAGACAAGGAAGGAACCUUCCCUGGAGCCUGCAGAGGGACCCUGGCCCUGCUGACACCUUGGUUUCAGACUUCUGGACAACACAACUGUGAGAAAAUAAA